UUUAUUGAGAGUUUGAUCCUGGCUCAGGACGAACGCUGGCGGCGUGCUUAACACAUGCAAGUCGAAC
rnacentral:rRNA from 1 species